GAGGGUAUAGCUCAGCGGCAGAGCAAUUGCCUAACAUCCAUGAGGUUCUGGGUUCAGUUCCCAGUACCAUCA
rnacentral:tRNA from 1 species